rnacentral:rRNA from 1 species
UACGAGGGGAGCAAGCGUUGUUCGGAUUUACUGGGCGUAAAGGGCGCGUAGGCGGCCACGACAAGUCACUUGUGAAAUCUCCGGGCUUAACUCGGAACGGUCAAGUGAUACUGUCGGGCUAGAGUGCAGAAGGGGCAACUGGAAUUCUCGGUGUAGCGGUGAAAUGCGUAGAUAUCGAGAGGAACACCUGCGGCGAAGGCGGCUCUCUGGGACGGUACUGACGCUGAGACGCGAAAGCGUGGGGAGCAAACAGG